rnacentral:rRNA from 1 species
GAUGAACGCUGGCGGCGUGCCUAAUACAUGCAAGUCGAGCGAACAGACGAGGAGCUUGCUCCUCUGACGUUAGCGGCGGACGGGUGAGUAACACGUGGAUAACCUACCUAUAAGACUGGGAUAACUUCGGGAAACCGGAGCUAAUACCGGAUAAUAUAUUGAACCGCAUGGUUCAAUAGUGAAAGACGGUUUUGCUGUCACUUAUAGAUGGAUCCGCGCCGCAUUAGCUAGUUGGUAAGGUAACGGCUUACCAAGGCGACGAUGCGUAGCCGACCUGAGAGGGUGGUCGGCCACACGAGAACUGAGACGCGGUCCUGACUCCUACGGUAGGCAGCAGUAGGGAAUCUUCCGCAAUGGGCGAAAGCCUGACGGAGCAACGCCGCGUGAGUGAUGAAGGUCUUCGGAGCGUAAAACUCUGUUAUUAGGGAAGAACAAAUGUGUAAGUAACUAUGCACGUCUUGACGGUACCUGAUCAGAAAGCCACGGCUAACUACGUG